rnacentral:rRNA from 1 species
CGGGACACGUGGUAUCCUGUCUGAAUAUGGGGGGACCAUCCUCCAAGGCUAAAUACUCCUGACUGACCGAUAGUGAACCAGUACCGUGAGGGAAAGGCGAAAAGAACCCCGGCGAGGGGAGUGAAAAAGAACCUGAAACCGUGUACGUACAAGCAGUGGGAGCACGCUUAGGCGUGUGACUGCGUACCUUUUGUAUAAUGGGUCAGCGACUUAUAUUCUGUAGCAAGGUUAACCGAAUAGGGGAGCCGAAGGGAAACCGAGUCUUAACUGGGCGUUAAGUUGCAGGGUAUAGACCCGAAACCCGGUGAUCUAGCCAUGGGCAGGUUGAAGGUUGGGUAACACUAACUGGAGGACCGAACCGACUAAUGUUGAAAAAUUAGCGGAUGACUUGUGGCUGGGGGUGAAAGGCCAAUCAAACCGGGAGAUAGCUGGUUCUCCCCGAAAGCUAUUUAGGUAGCGCCUCGUGAAUUCAUCUCCGGGGGUAGAGCACUGUUUCGGCAAGGGGGUCAUCCCGACUUACCAACCCGAUGCAAACUGCGAAUACCGGAGAAUGUUAUCACGGGAGACACACGGCGGGUGCUAACGUCCGUCGUGAAGAGGGAAACAACCCAGACCGCCAGCUAAGGUCCCAAAGUCAUGGUUAAGUGGGAAACGAUGUGGGAAGGCCCAGACAGCCAGGAUGUUGGCUUAGAAGCAGCCAUCAUUUAAAGAAAGCGUAAUAGCUCACUGGUCGAGUCGGCCUGCGCGGAAGAUGUAACGGGGCUAAACCAUGCACCGAAGCUGCGGCAGCGACGCUGAUGCGUUGUUGGGUAGGGGAGCGUUCUGUAAGCCUGUGAAGGUGUGCUGUGAGGCAUGCUGGAGGUAUCAGAAGUGC